GCUGACACAGGUCUCGGCCAGGGCUCUACCUGCGCUCAGGAUUGGAAAAGCUGUGCGCAAUGAGAGGCGCGUUGGUUCUCCGCAACGGGGAGCAGAAACCGGCCUGGGUCAGCCAGUGGACUGGUUGGAAGCAGAGAACUGAAAGAAAACCAACACCCUAGUGAGGCCAAGGGACAGGGUCUCUCUAUGUAACCCUGGAUGUCCUGGAACUCACUGUUUAGACCAGGCUGGCUUCUGACUCACAGAGAUCCGCCUGCCCCUGCCUCCCAUCUCCUGGGAUUUAAAGGCAUACCCCACCACCAACCACCACGCCCAGCAACAAAUUUUUUUAAAUUUUGAUUUUGGGGAUUUGGGCUUUUAUUUUUAGACAAGGUCUAUCUAUAUAACCCCAGCUGGCCUGCAGCUCACUAUGUAGACCAGGCUGCCCUCUAAUGGCUCAGAAAUGAAGAGAAUCUGUUUUUGCAGAAGGCCUAGGUUCAGUACCCAGCACCCACAUCAUGCCUCACAACCAUUGGUAACUCUAAUUACCCAUGGUGACCUCUUCUAAACUCCAAGAGCACUUGGCAUGAAGGUGGUGCACAGACAUACAUAGAGGCAAAACUCAUAAAUACAAAGUGGAGUGUGUGGGUGGAGGUCUGUUUUGUA
rnacentral:lncRNA from 1 species